GCGGCAAGAGCUCAGAUUUGAAAUCUCACCUAGUGUGCGAGUUGUAAAUUGCAGGUUGGAGUCUCGGGUUAGACGUGUGUGCAAGUCCCUUGGAACAGGGUGCCACUGAGGGUGAGAGCCCCGUAUCGUGCAUGUCGACACCUGUGAGGCCCUUCUGACGAGUCGAGUUGUUUGGGAAUGCAGCUCUAAGUGGGUGGUAAAUUCCAUCUAAGGCUAAAUAUUGGCGAGAGACCGAUAGCGAACAAGUACUGUGAAGGAAAGAUGAAAAGCACUUUGAAAAGAGAGUGAAACAGCACGUGAAAUUGUUGAAAGGGAAGGGUAUUGGGCUCGACAUGGGAUUUACGCAUCGUUGCCUCUCGUGGGCGGCGCUCUGGGUUUUUCCUGGGCCAGCAUCGGUUUUCGUUGCAGGAUAAGGACAAUUGGAAUGUGGCUCCUCGGAGUGUUAUAGCCUUUUGUAGAUGCUGCGUAUGGGGACCGAGGGCUGCGGCGGACUCGUUUCGUCUCGGAUGCUGGCACAACG
rnacentral:rRNA from 1 species